rnacentral:rRNA from 1 species
GACGAACGCUGGCGGCGUGCUUAACACAUGCAAGUCGAACGGAAAGGCCCCUUUGGGGGUACUCGAGUGGCGAACGGGUGAGUAACACGUGAGUAACCUGCCCUUGACUUCGGGAUAACUUCAGGAAACUGGGGCUAAUACCGGAUAGGAAUCCUUGCUGCAUGGUGGGGGUUGGAAAGCUUCGGCGGUUUUGGAUGGACUCGCGGCUUAUCAGCUUGUUGGUGGGGUAGUGGCUUACCAAGGCUUUGACGGGUAGUCGGCCUGAGAGGGCGACCGGCCACAUUGGGACUGAGAUACGGCCCAGACUCCUACGGGAGGCAGCAGUGGGGAAUAUUGCACAAUGGGCGGAAGCCUGAUGCAGCAACGCCGCGUGCGGGAUGACGGCCUUCGGGUUGUAAACCGCUUUCAGCAGGGGCGAAGCUUGUGGUGACGGUACCUGCAGAAGAAGCACCGGCUAACUACGUG